rnacentral:misc_RNA from 1 species
CUGACAUUGGUUGCUGCUGCUGGGAUUUCUGAGACUCCUCAAACCUUCAUACAACCUUGGGGGUCUCCCAUCCUAAGAUUAACCAACACCAACCCUGCUAAGCUUCCACAGAGAGACCAGCUACUUAGGUUUCCAUUUGCUUUUAUUUCAUGGCCUGUUUCAGA